AAAUGGAGUUUAAUUAAUGAAAUAAAAACAUUUUCAAAUGGGUACUUCUCUUUUAAUAAUAUAGAUUGGAAAAGUAACCUUAAAAUAUAUAUCUCUAGUAAUCAUACUAACAAAGCUUAUUAGAAUAAUUGAUUUGGGCUAUUUGGUUAUGAUAUUAAAAUUAGUAUCAUUUGUAACCCAAAAAAUAAUGGACCUAAAAACAAAUCAAAUUAAUAGCUAGUAAGGAAAGGGUUGAAACAAUCGCAUAUUAAUAGCUAAAAUUUUGUUAGUUGUGAAAUUUUUGUAUGCAUCCUAGAAUAUACUCCACGAUUUUAUUUCAAAAUAGAUCCAUUUGUUAGUUGCUUAUGGAAUUGAGGUUGUUAAAUAUAAGAUUUUUUACCUGAUCUGCAAGAUUAGGAACAAAAACAAUGUUGUGGUAGUUGAUUGAUACCGAAUUUUAUGAUGAUUGCUUAAUCAUAGGAAUAUAUUAUGAAAGGUAAUUAUUUUUAGGUUAAUAAUAAAUGUUUGACGUGAUUGCAAGAUCAAUAACCACAUAAGGAUUUUGUGGUAGUUUAGUGAUAUAUAUCGUAUUUGCUUAAAUAUAGGAAUAUAUUUUCUAAGGUAACUUGUUUUGGAAAAUAAUAAAUGAAUAGUUUUGAUUUUGAAUUAAACAAUUUAUAUUGAAAAAAUUGUUUUGUGUAAGUUAGUAUUGUCGUGGAAUUACAUGAUUUCUAGUAAUACUGAUAAAAACUAUGAUCUUAAUGUAUGACAUAUAUUUGUAUCUAUCUAAUAAACUGGUUUUGAUCUGCAGACCAAAACUACUAAUCUGAUGCGAUGAACUAAGAAAGUAUGACAAUUUUUCUCGAUGGUUUAUAAUGGUAUAUACAACGGUAUGAAGGUAACCAGAAAUUGUAGUUUGAUUGUUUUGUAAUAUAAAUGUUUAGUAAUGUUUGUAAUUGAUGGUUUAGUAAUAAGACAAAAUUGUUGACAAAAAAAAAAAAAUGACAAAACGUUUGGGUUUUAUUUUAUGUAUAAAACGAUUGGUAUUAAAGUGUUAGCAUGUGGUUUAGUAAUGAUCUUUGAAAUUUUAUGGUGUAAUAAUUCACCCAACGUGUUUCUCAGUUUAGGAAAUAAGGAAAACAAUUCGAUUUAGAAAAAAAGGAAACAGUGAAUUUAAUGUCAAUAGCAUAUGUUGGUAAAUAUUGUGAAAAAGGUAGGACUAAGUACAAAAUGUACUCCUGUUUUCAUAGUUUAGAUAAAUAAAAUAAAAUAUCAAUUAUCAUAAAGACCGUCUCUUAUUGGGGUACACAAGAGACGGUCUCUUUUCCUUCCUUUCCCCUGUAGCUUCUUCUUCUCCAUCUCACUUCUCUCAUGCUUCCUUCAAAAUGGAGUCACUCCUCCACGCGUCUUCGUCUGUAAGAAGAAGAAAAGCAAGAAAGACGACAGCCACAGCUUCUCCUCGAGACCUGACGAAGUCACAGCCCGUUUCCUGAAUCCAUUCUUUUCAAAGAGGAAGGAUGAAUGGUUCUCGUAAGCAAUCAAUCGUCUACGCUGUUCGAGUUACCAAUCGCUAAAAGAAAGCAGCGUCGCUUGCUCUGACACGACGACGGACGAAGCAAGAAGCUUAACGAUGCGGCGCAGAUUGAUCGGCCGAUGUUGAAACGUCCGUUCAAAGUGGCAGCGACGGCAAAAUUGCCGACGUUUCUGCCGAGAGAUGUUGAGAGAAUCAAAGACACGUUUGCUCUGAAUCGAGAGGCUUCCCGUAAAAGUUAGCUUCUCGGAAGAUAGAAUCAUGAGCAGUUGCGUGACGCCACUGGUGAGGAAAGAGUCAAGUCUUGUGGUGCUUCUUCACGGAUUUGAUAGUUUUUCAAGUAUUGGUAUUUGAGGGAAGCUGCUAGGAUGGGUGUGAAACAGGCUCUAAGGAGCAUCGAUGCGUUCCCAAGAGCAGAGUGAAAGUCUAAAGUCUCACAAGUACCAUACUGGGAGUGAUUGUGAAGUGCUUGUCCAUUUUGUGAGUACCAUUUCUUGCUUCCGUAGAUAGAUAGAUGUUGUGUGUGUUUGUUUCGUGUUGUGACAUAUACAUAACCUUCAAAAGCUAAAUAUAUGUAAUGAUGUCUACAAACAAAGUUAUAAUAUAUAUAUAUAUAUAUAUAUAUAUAAUGAUGAUUCCGUCUCCUUUUAUGUAUA